UCAUGCAAUGCAAUUUUCGUGAAUGCUGCGCAACGAUUGACCAUCGAACAAGAAAUAGCAAACAAAAUUGCGUUAUGGCUCCACAUAGAAAAUGCACUUUCAACAAUAAUUUCAAAGAGAAGUACGCGUUUAUAAAAAAGGCUGCACAUGAGAAUGAAGUGAAAUGUUUGAAAUGCAGUGCUGUUUUUUCCAUUGCUAAGGGUGGUAAAUGUGAUAUUGAACGCCAUUUGAUAUCGCAAAAACAUCGUAAGGCUGAUUUUGAAGCUUCAACCAGUCAAUCCGUUCUCAAUUUUGUGCGACCACGUACAAUGGAUGAUCAGGGAAUGAAGAUCAGCAUCAAUGAAGGUACUUGGGCGUACCACACCGUAAACCACAACUUUUCGUUUCGUUCUAAUGAUUGCACAUCAAAAUUAAUUAAAAGAUGUUUUGACGAAAACUAUUCAUCCGCUCGCACUAAAACUGAAGCUAUUGUGUGUAAUGUAUUAGUUCCAUACGUAUUGCAGCAAGUCGAAGCUGAUUUGCGGGAAGUUAAUUUUAUUUCCAUUUUCUCCGAUUGUUCAAAUCAUGGCAGCAUUAAGAUUUGUCCGGUGCUUGUCAGAUACUUCUUGCCGGAAAAGGGAUACAAAUAAAAAUAUUGGAUGUAAAGGAACUGUCAGGUGAAUCGUCAGUUCUCUGGUGGUGUCUUCAUGUGUGGAUCGCGUUGGUGCGGUAUGUUAUCGUUCAGUGACGUGUGCUGAGCGCUAAUUUAUCUAGCCAAUAUUAGGCGUGUUUUAUUUGACCAGCAAAUUAAGCUAUUAGCUUAUUUUGUAUGGAAGACUUAGCCAACAUUGCUUGCCUUUCAUCGGCAUUUCCGGACAAGGAACCAAAAAAGGCCGGGGCCGUAUCUGCGCUGUAGGGCGGCUGCGGAAGCAUUGGAUGCCGACUUUGAUUAGGUAGUUCUUCCCAAAAAAGAACGGUAUGAGCCGAAACGAUGCCAAGGUGCAACUUCCAAUCGGCUGCGAUGUCAUGUCGGACCCUAUUGACCCUUCGUUUGAGUCUUUUGGGGACAUUUACGUAAAACUUGGCGUUUACGGUUCGGCUUGCACCACACAGUAACACGUCGUGCAAAAAUGUUUGUCCUGACCCUCCAGGUGCUCGGAGACAACUGACCAGCCACUCGUUCAUUAGCUAGGAUCGCCUUCUACCGAAUCCAUUAGGUGGGCGCACUCUUCGAAGUACAGUCGCGGCGAAAAAAAGGUAAAUAUAGCGGUUUACUUCUGGCAUCCCGCCUUUUCUGAAAUCAGCUGAUCGAAAUUCCCUGAUCUCCUUCUCUGUCAAAUAAUCAGGGAACGCAUUUGAGAGAAAAAUGAGAGCAAAUGCGAGAGUUUCGUAUCAUCUUAUCCAUGCUGGCGGAGUGGCACAACAGCGAUCAUAAAUAUUCGUGAUAUUUGUGACCUAAUACAAUUGUGGUAAUUUGCGUUUAAAAUUAAAUUUCAUACAAUUGACUUGACUUGCGGAGUACCAUUUGCUAAGCCGUUGUGCCUAACUUGAGGAAUUUUGAUGGUUCCGUUAUUGAUGAUAGCGUGAUCAAGUUUACCCAUGCGCAUACCAACUAUGUAGAAUCACCUCUCAAUGUGGAUAAGGCAAUAACUGGGACAAUACUAAUUAGUAUGCCAAAUAUAAAUCGACACAAAUUAACUUUUCACCAGUUUAUUCCAAAUACGCCGCUACGACUAGGACGAUUACACCCGCUCAAUGCUCGCAUGGUUUAUAUAAAAUUUCGUCACAUUCUUCGCUGCCGUUUGGGUCCGGAGACGUGGACUUCCUGGGGAUAUGACAUGGCUUUGAAUAAACAUAUGCAGGAUAACUAAGGAACAUAACCGCGUAGGGCUCUAUAACAGACUGCCUUCAGUUGUUGGUGGACCCUAAAUGAACUCAUUUUUGCUCAUUCAUCCGCAUGCGUGUUUGGUCAGAUCCAGCACGUACCAAUGAGUUCCGUUUAUACGUCCACUUAUGGAGGGAACGUCUUUCAAAAUGCACAACCUCGCUUCAUAUCAUUGGCUAAUGGAGAUGGGUGCAGUGCUGCUGCACAAUAUAACCCCUUCUCUUCUGCACGCAACUAUUUCAGGCAACCAGAAAGAGGUUUUGUGCCCAUCAAUGAUAGUACUUGGAGGCAGGUUCAGAAUAAUUCUGACGUGAGUUUAAUCCCAUCACAUAUAGCGUCUAGACAAGCGAUAAGCAAAGAUUUGCCACCUUUCUCUGGAAGGCCAGAAGUAUGGUCAUUGUUUAUGACGAACUACGAACAACCAACAGAACGCUGCAAGUUUUCUGAACGAGAAAGCUUGAAUCGAGGCCGUUCGAGGGAAAUUGAUGAUGCCAUCUACAGUUCAUCGAGCCAUCGAAACUCUUCGCAUGUUCUUCGGGAGACCCGACGUUAUACAUAACACCCUACAACGGAAUUUGAAACAGAUGUCAGUAGUGAGGACCGAUCGACUGAAUACCCUUAUUGAUCUCGCGUUGGGUGUACAAAAUUUUAUUUUAUUUUAUUCAUAAUAAUUCAUAUAACAAAAAGAGUGUUAUUAUAUAAAUACAUAAACGCAGCACUGGCUACGAGGCCUUCAGCCGUCUUGUAAUUAUAACUAAGUGAAAAAUUCUAUUUGCUAAGGGUUAGUAAAGAUGUAAGUUGCUUAAAUAUAUUUUAACAAAUCGUUGGUUUUUAAGAAUCUACUUAUAUACAAUCAUCACGUUUUUUUCUGAAGGUUCACUUAGUAGUUUUAUGAGAUCAAUGUUGCCAGAGUUGUGGGCUGUUGGGUGAAGCAUCGGACAGAGUGUGAGUAAGUGUUUGAUAGAAGCGGUGUCAUCGCAAAGGGGGCAAAUGGAUGGGCUCUUACCCGAUAGUAAGUGGGCGUGUGUUAUGAUAGUGUGUCCAAUCCUUAAUCGAGUAUAUGUCUUCAUUGCGCUAGUUGGAACUGUUGACGAGUAGAUUAUACGAUUUCUGGCUGGGUUUAUGACCGCGUAGUGAUGUUUAAAUGUUUUCCAUUCGCUUGCGUUUUUUUGAUGCCUUUUGU